CACCAGACUCCUACGGGAGGCAGCAGUGAGGAAUAUUGGUCAAUGGGCGGGAGCCUGAACCAGCCAAGCCGCGUGAGGGAAGAAGGUCCAGCGUAUCGUAAACCUCUUUUGUCAGGGAACAAAGGCGGGGACUAGUCCCCGGAUGAGGGUACCUGAAGAAAAAGCAUCGGCUAACUCCGUGCCAGCAGCCGCGGUAAUACGGAGGAUGCGAGCGUUAUCCGGAUUUAUUGGGUUUAAAGGGUGCGUAGGCGGGAUGCCAGGUCAGGGGUAAAAUGCGGGGGCUCAACCUGCGUCCGCCGUUGAAACUGGCGUUCUUGAGUGGGCGAGAAGUACGCGGAAUGCGUGGUGUAGCGGUGAAAUGCAUAGAUAUCACGCAGAACCCCGAUUGCGAAGGCAGCGUACCGGCGCCCGACUGACGCUGAAGCACGAAAGCGUGGGUAUCGAACAGGAUUAGAUACCCCAGUAAA
rnacentral:rRNA from 1 species